rnacentral:rRNA from 1 species
UGGGGAAUAUUGCACAAUGGGGGAAACCCUGAUGCAGCGACGCCGCGUGGAGGAUGACGGCCUUCGGGUUGUAAACUCCUUUUGUCAGGACAAUGGUGAUGGUACCUGACGAAUAAGCCACGGCUAACUCUGUGCCAGCAGCCGCGGUAAGACAGAGGUGGCGAGCGUUGUUCGGAAUUACUGGGCUUAAAGGGCGCGUAGGCGGUGGUGUAAGUCUGGGGUGGAAUGCUACAGCUCAACUGUAGAGCUGCCUUGGAAACUGCAUUACUUGAGUCGGUGAGGGGAAGGCGGAAUUCCUGGUGUAGCGGUGAAAUGCGUAGAUAUCAGGAGGAAGGUCUGUGGCGAAGGCGGCCUUCUGGCACUUGACUGACGCUGAGGCGCAAAAGCGUGGGGAGCAAACAG